UUAAACAAGGAAGGUGUAGU
rnacentral:piRNA from 1 species